CGAUAAGAUCAAAAAUCGAAAGAAAAGCGAAAUUAAAUAUGGCACACGAGGGUGACAGCCGUGCACUGUCCAGGCGCGUACACGUCGCUCGCGUACGUACUUUGUGUGCAGUAGCAGUUGGUACUCCUGCACAGUGUACGCGCGCGCGACAUCUGUACACUACGUACACGUUUACGUAUACGUGUAUAUGCUUGUCGUCCACGUAGGCAACCUCCGCUACUCGGUCUCUAAGAGCUUACAAUAGCAGUCUAUAAACCAGCUAUAAACAUAUUUUAAAGAGAUAAAAAGAAGAGAGAAAAGCAGCGGGCUAUAAAUCUGUAGCCAGCUGUAACACGGACUCCAAGACGUAAUAUGUGUAUGACAUGUGAGAUCAGGCAUUAAUAGUAUUGUAAGCAACUAUUGUAUGAAUUGGCUAUUAUAUUGGCUAUAGAUGAUUUGAAGCUAACAGUUGGCUAUACUAUUAAACUUGCUCUAACGCAGAGCUGAUCACCGAUCAGAGUGUAGUACAGCGAAAUAAGCGUCGCCAGACUUUACCCUAAAUUCAGGACUAUAUGUUUCUGUUUUCUCGCGCACGCUUAACAAACUGCUAAACAAUAAUUUUUAAAAAAAUUAUAAGAAAGUUGUUUUAGGAAAAUGUAUUAAUCCAUUUUUCAAUUUUUUUAUAACUAAUAGUUAAGUAUGCAUUAAUCUCUGUUUUAUGUGUGAAGGGAGCGGUUCCCCAACUGCUCCAGAAGAAGAACAUAGCUUAAUUAAAUUUCCUACGGUGAAAUCAGUCUAUACAGAUUUAAGUUCUAAAAUUGAUACAAAUAUUAAUAUUUACUACUAAUUGUUUUUUCAGUAUUAGACAACGAGAUGUCUAUGGAGACAUCAUAGUAGUAUCCAGCAGCCUAUGUGGCGUUGCAUUGGGAAGCCUAGCGCGGUGAGUCACCCUCCACCGUGGCAUGGCCCCACCUGUCAGUUUGUAACUGCCAACCAAGUCACUGAAAAAUUAGAUGGACGAUUUUGUCUCCGUAAAACAGAGUGAAAUUAGGAGGACCACUGGAUCCGCUAUGCCAGGGAUGUACUCAUGAUCUGGGCCAUCCACGUGUCUGAUUAAAUACUUGACCCUGACAUGACAUACACGCAUACUUAAUGCAUUAGCUUAAUUAGCUAGCAACAAUUGGUUUGGGAUCAUGGCAAUGCAAAGCUUCUACUACUAGCUAGCUAGGCAUGAUCAUGCAAGAGGCAGCCUGAUGACUCUGAUGUAUGUUAACAACUGCAAGCAAGAGGGGUUAUUUCACUAGUCUUGUCUUCACAUGUUAACUGCAUGAGUAGCUGCUUAGUUUGGAGAGGCAGUGUCCUAAUCCAGCAAAGGGCAGGGCAGGGUCAGACCAGAAAUGCUGCCUCAUGGUAAGUGGGAACAUUAGCUUUCUCACUGGAAUAUGAUGCCAUUGCUUGAAACAACUGUGCUCACUGUAGUGUAACAAAAUCUUGUUCCUGCUAUCUUUGAUAAUGGUACCCGUGUUUAUCGGAAAAAUGCUUACUGUACCAGCCUAAUGAAGACGAAGUUGAAGAAGAAGAUGAUGAACAAGAAGAGGAAAAGAUCUUUCCAAAGCAGCCAGCAAAAAAAGGAUUUAUAAAAAAGAAAAGAAAAGAAAAGAAAGGUAGCCAAAGGAGAAAGCAGGGGAGAAGAGAAGAAGAUGAGAUGAGCUGAGAUGCUGCAGCCACAUGAGGAAUGCUACCUUUUGUCUCCACUUGAUCAUGGAGGAGACCAAGACCAGCCAACCAAAUCACCAAUUAGUUAACUGCAUUUGCUACUAAUUGCUAGUGCUAAACAAAGGUUUGGUUAAACGGUAGCCACCAGUAAACAAAUCAGUAUGCAAAAGAGGAAUGGGGUUUUAAUAUUACCAAAGUCAGCAGGAGCGAGCCAGUAACAUCCUAGCUGGACCAGCUUCCUGGGAAUUUUUAUUUC
rnacentral:sRNA from 1 species